rnacentral:rRNA from 1 species
UACGUAGGAUCCGAGCGUUGUCCGGAUUUACUGGGUGUAAAGGGUGCGCAGGCGGACUGGCAAGUCAGAGGUGAUAUCUCGUCGCUCAACGACGAAACUGCCUUUGAUGCUAUCAGUCUUGAAUCCGGUAGAGAUCUGUGGAAUUCCGAGUGUAGCAGUGAAAUGUGUAGAUAUUCGGAAGAACACCAGUGGCGAAGGCAGCAGAUUGGGCCGGUAUUGACGCUCAGGCACGAAAGCAUGGGGAUCAAACAGG